CUACUGAAGUGUAUAUAAUAUAUAAUUUCAUACAAGUUGCACAAAAAGAAAAAACUAAUAUCAAACAAGACCAAGAAAAUGGAGAAGAAAUAUUUCGGGUUUAUGCUUUUGCUUCUCUUCUUAUUUGCUUCUGAGAUGAACAUGGUGGUUGAGGUUGAUGGUGCCAUUUGCGGAAGAAAACCAAGCAAGUUCUUUGAUGGCCCUUGCAUUUUUGCUAAGUCUUGUAAGCAGGAAUGUGUCAGAGAGAAUUGGCCUGAAGGAAAGUGUAUCUCGGACUUCAGAUGUGAAUGCCAAAUGUAUUGUUAGGCAAUGUGUGCUCCUAAAUAAUGAAGUAGAUAGGGGGCAAGGGACGAUAAAAUGGCAUAAUUCCUAUUGUAUCAUGGAUCAAUAAUAUAAAAUAUUGUAAUAUAAACUAAAUGGUUGUUUGCCUACUUUCUUUUUAUUGUUGUCUUUCUUAAUUUCUUAUAAAAUUGCCAUUGUGUCUGAAACUAUGUGGUUUGACGUCUUUAAGCUUGAAUUGAAAUAAUAAAGUCUAUUUUGAAAGUUGUACUA